GACCAGCCGAAGCACCGGCCAGCCGCCUG
rnacentral:sRNA from 1 species